rnacentral:rRNA from 1 species
CGCUGAACUUAAGCAUAUCAUUAAGCGGAGGAAAAGAAACUAACAAGGAUUCCCCCAGUAACGGCGAGUGAAGCGGGAAGAGCUCAAGCUUAAAAUCUCCAUACUUGUAUGGCGAAUUGUAGUCUAUUGAGGCUGUUGUCAGCAUCGCGAUCGGGGACAAGUCCCUUGGAAAAGGGCAGCAUGGAGGGUGAUACUCCCGUCUCUGCUCCGAUUUGCGGUGUGUACGAUACGCUUUCUUUGAGUCGAGUUGUUUGGGAAUACAGCUCAAAGUAGGUGGUAAAUUCCAUCUAAAGCUAAAUAUUGGUGCGAGACCGAUAGCGAACAAGUACCGUGAGGGAAAGAUGAAAAGAACUUUGAAAAGAGAGUUAAAGAGUACCUGAAACUGUUGAAAGGGAACCGUAUCGUUUCCAGUGUUUUAUCUUGUGCAUAUUUCAUUCGCGGAGUAAUUUGCGGGUGCCCUGUGCAUGAGUGUGACGUCAGAGUCAGUUUGUAUGCUGCGGGAGAUGGUCAGUGAGGAGGUGCGUCACUUCGGUGAAAGUUAUAUCUCGCUGUCUAGUAGCCGUGGUUGAGACUGAGGUGCCUACAACAUGCCUUGGGGUUUUGUGUUGUCUCGUGUUGGUGACUGCUUUGAUAGCUUGCUAUGUCUGUGGUUUAUUAAUGCGAUUGAUGAUGCGGAUAACCUCUGCUGUUCGGGACUCUGGCGAAAUGGAGCGAUACGACCCGUCUUGAAACACGGACCAAGGAGUCUAACAUGUGUGCAAGUAUUAGGGCGUGGAAACCCAAAUGCGUAAUGAAAGUAAAUGCUGCUUAUGCAGCUGUGGUAGGAAAGGGCUGUCAAGGUCCUGGCACUAUCGACCGAUCAUGAGCCCACGGGCAAAAGAUUUGAGUAUGAGCAUAUAUGUUGGUACCCGAAAGAUGGUGAACUAUGCCUGAAUAGGGUGAAGCCAGGGGAAACUCUGGUGGAAGCUCGUAGCGAUUCUGACGUGCAAAUCGAUCGUCAAAUUUGGGUAUAGGGGCGAAAGACUAAUCGAACCAUCUAGUAGCUGGUUCCCUCCGAAAUUUCCCUCAGGAUAGCAGCAACUUUUUACGAUAGUUUUAUGAGGUAAAGCGAAUGAUUAGAGGCCUCGGGGAAGAAACUUCCUCGACCUAUUCUCAAACUUUAAAUGGGUAAGACCUGUGGGUUUCUUAAUUGAACCUGUGGACGUGAAUAUCCAAGUUGUUAGUGGGCCAUACCGGGUAAGCUGGUCUGGCG